UACUGCUGAAAAUGGCAGGUUCGACUGACAUUAAUCUGUUCUGUACGGCCUUAAGAACAAUUAGGCUGAAUCUUCAGGGUGCUCGGCCGCAGAGUGAAGUCUUAUCCUAUAGCACAACAUACAGCUUACCCAAAAAAAAAAAAAAAAGAAAAGUCUAAGGCAAGUUUCACACUAGUGCUUUGGUAUCCGGCAGGGAACAGCAUGCCAUAUCUCUGUGCAUUGCCAGAAUCUGUCAUUGCUGUCCGGGACCAUUAACUAUAAUGGGGACCAGCAGCGAUCUGGGUGCAACCCGUCAAAUAUGCAGAGAAUCGGCCAGACGAAAGCUGCUGCCGGAUCCAGACAUCUGUGGCAGACUGCUCCCUGCCAACGUCCUGCUGGAGAUGUCCAAUGCUAGUGUGAAACUGGCCUAAGGGUACAACCACAAGGGACGGUCAUGAGGCUCUUAUGACGUGGCUGUGCUGCACUAGAGUACCCCACGGCCCGGGCUCCAAUUAAGAACGCACCGUUUAGUCUGUCAGUAUUGUUUAUGGAUGACUAAACAGUCUUCUUUAGUUUAAUUUGAGCCCACAGCAGCCUGUAUAGCCGUAGGGUACUCAAAUGUACCAUGUCCGCGUUACAGGGGCCACACAACAAUGCUGUGUGGUCCUACCCUAGAAGAUCCAGAGAGAGCAGACAACUAACCUGAGUUGAAAAUAGAGCUGUGCAAGGAUCCCCAACCUGAAGGAUCCAAUUUCUUAGAAUGGCAAGGUGUUUGCAGCAAUCGGAUAGGGCUCAUAGACCAUAAUGGCGAGGACUGACAGCUCAGUCUCAUACAACAGUUACAGUAUUAAUUCGAUUUUAGAAAUUCAGUGCAGGAUAUAAAGCAGAUACAUCAGCUACCAGUAAAAGCAUGACCAUCAGUUGUCAGGGUAUACUUUCACCUUUUUGUGCAUUUUUUUUUUUAUUGCAUUGCAUA